rnacentral:rRNA from 1 species
CUCAGGACGAACGCUGGCUGCGUGCUUAACACAUGCAAGUCGAACGAUGAACCACCUUCGGGUGGGGAUUAGUGGCGAACGGGUGAGUAACACGUGGGCAAUCUGCCCUGCACUCUGGGACAAGCCCUGGAAACGGGGUCUAAUACCGGAUACUGACCUGCCAAGGCAUCUUGGCGGGUCGAAAGCUCCGGCGGUGCAGGAUGAGCCCGCGGCCUAUCAGCUUGUUGGUGAGGUAAUGGCUCACCAAGGCGACGACGGGUAGCCGGCCUGAGAGGGCGACCGGCCACACUGGGACUGAGACACGGCCCAGACUCGUACGGGAGGCAGCAGUGGGGAAUAUUGCACAAUGGGCGAAAGCCUGAUGCAGCGACGCCGCGUGAGGGAUGACGGCCUUCGGGUUGUAAACCUCUUUCAGCAGGGAAGAAGCGAAAGUGACGGUACCUGCAGAAGAAGCGCCGGCUAACUACGUGCCAGCAGCCGCGGUAAUACGUAGGGCGCAAGCGUUGUCCGGAAUUAUUGGGCGUAAAGAGCUCGUAGGCGGCUUGUCGCGUCGGUUGUGAAAGCCCGGGGCUUAACCCCGGGUCUGCAGUCGAUACGGGCAGGCUAGAGUUCGGUAGGGGAGAUCGGAAUUCCUGGUGUAGCGGUGAAAUGCGCAGAUAUCAGGAGGAACACCGGUGGCGAAGGCGGAUCUCUGGGCCGAUACUGACGCUGAGGAGCGAAAGCGUGGGGAGCGAACAGGAUUAGAUACCCUGGUAGUCCACGCCGUAAACGGUGGGCACUAGGUGUGGGCAACAUUCCACGUUGUCCGUGCCGCAGCUAACGCAUUAAGUGCCCCGCCUGGGGAGUACGGCCGCAAGGCUAAAACUCAAAGGAAUUGACGGGGGCCCGCACAAGCGGCGGAGCAUGUGGCUUAAUUCGACGCAACGCGAAGAACCUUACCAAGGCUUGACAUACACCGGAAACGACCAGAGAUGGGGCCCCCCUUGUGGUCGGUGUACAGGUGGUGCAUGGCUGUCGUCAGCUCGUGUCGUGAGAUGUUGGGUUAAGUCCCGCAACGAGCGCAACCCUUGUCCCGUGUUGCCAGCAACUCUUCGGAGGUUGGGGACUCACGGGAGACCGCCGGGGUCAACUCGGAGGAAGGUGGGGACGACGUCAAGUCAUCAUGCCCCUUAUGUCUUGGGCUGCACACGUGCUACAAUGGCCGGUACAAUGAGCUGCGAUACCGCAAGGUGGAGCGAAUCUCAAAAAGCCGGUCUCAGUUCGGAUUGGGGUCUGCAACUCGACCCCAUGAAGUCGGAGUCGCUAGU